AUGAAAAAAAUCAGCGAGCAUAUUGGGCAGCCCUUUCUCUCCGUGAGAAUAUCUCCUCUCCCUCUCCCUCAAAAAUAUCUCCUCUCUCCCUCCCUCACCCCGAUCCUCUUCUCCGUGCCGUCGCCGCCUCCGCUCCCCCUCCCGCGGCCCUCAUCCCCUCCUGCCGCCGCCUCCUCUACUCACCCCACCAUCGCCACCCCGUCCCUCCUCGUUCCCUCCACCAUCAGGGAAGGACGGAUCCACUCCCUCCCACCCCCUCCUCGCCUGGCAUCGCUCGAUGAAGAAGAUGGACAGCAUCUCGAGGCCUUGAAGGCCAGCGAAGCCUUGCGAGCCCUCCCCUGCCUGGCCGCCGCCCCCCCGGCGUUCAAGGAGGAACUGGGCGACAAUAGGAAGCAUGCAGAGGCGGUGGUGGCCAAGGAAAAGGAGGAUCUUGCGGUCUGA
rnacentral:rRNA from 1 species